rnacentral:misc_RNA from 1 species
GAUGAAGAACGUAGCGAAAUGCGAUACGUAAUGUGAAUUGCAGAAUUCAGUGAAUCAUCGAAUCUUUGAACGCACCUUGCACUCUUUGGUAUUCCGAAGAGUAUGUCUGUUUGAGUGUCAUGAAACUCUCAACCCCCUAAUUUUGUAAUGAGAUUAGUGUGGGCUUGGAUCAUGGUUGUUGCCGGCUUCGUUGUCGGCUCGACUGAAAUACACGAGCUACCCAUUUGAAAUAGACGGUUUGACUCGGCGUAAUAAUUAUUUCGCUGAGGACGUCUUCUUCGAAAGUCAGUGGUGCUUCUAAUGCAUUAUAAAUUUAAGCUUUAGACCUCAAAUCAGUCAGGACUACCCGCUGAACUUAAGCAUAUCAAUAAGCGGAGGA